ACGGAAGCCCGGUGAGGCCUAGGUCGAUCCGGAAGAGAAGGUUCGAUCUCCCGAUCCGGGCGCCCAGCACGGUACCCGGCACCCACGCGGAGUCAUAGCCGCGAUAAUGGCAGAAGUGUUGCGGGCCUGCGUAAUUGCGAAAAGCGGAUGGUGUCGACGGCCCUUUGGGUGGGGUUGCAGCCGGAAGCGUCGCAAGAUCGCCGAGGCCACCCACGCAGCCCAGAUAUGCACGCUUGGUAACCGGGUUCCGUGCUAGCGGGCGGCGGACCGAAUAUUUCGGGACGUCGCCCGCUCUACAUU
rnacentral:ncRNA from 1 species